CUCUGGGUGCCCUUCGUCUGCUGCAUUCUCUCACAUGAUGUCUGAGUUCUGAGAUGACCAGAAAACUGAAAGAUCCCCAUUGCACCCAGGGAUUGCUCUCUUCAUUAUGGGAAACAUUCUGUUUUCUGGCAGUUGGAUGCAGCUUGACAUUUUCACUUCCUCUUUUACUGCUUUAUUUGCAUUGGGGAACUUGGCAAGAGGAAUAUCAGGUGAAAAUGCAUGAGCCAGCUGUACCCGUGCCAGCUUGUGUCCAGAAGCCUCACUGGCUUGAUGAAAGGAAUGGGUGGAGUGAUUUUCCAGUUUGUGUUGAGGGAACACCACCCCAUUAUGAAGCCUUCCCAGAAAAUGAAUGUCUAAUCUUCUUAUGACUCUUCUAAGGAAAAAAUAAUUUCAGCCUGAAGAACCUGUUAUUAACUCUAUGCAAGUCAGAGAUUUCCUACAGAAAACAAUGGCUGAAGAUUUCUUGUGCACACACUGGAGAAAUUGGUUAUCAUCUGGAGGAUGGAACGUGAGAUCCAUUGAUCUGUUUUUCAGCUCUUUGGGCUAUAAUUUCUUCUUACCAACAAACUGUAAUUCUCAAAUGGUUGAAGAAUAUAAAACAGUUAAGAGUCUGAUUCUGGAAAAUACCUGAGUACCUAUGGACCUCUCUUUGAAAACAACUGACUUCAAAGAAGUGCUGUUCCAAAUAGGGAUGGAUUUCUAUCUGUGCUUGGACACAUUUCUGAAUCGGGGCCUUGGGCUGAUUUACAUAGAACAUUCAACUUAAUUAAUCCAAAUUAACUUAAAGUAUGAACUGAAAAUGGAUUAAGCUUUAUACAAAGUGGAAUUAAGACUACUUUAAUUUAAAAAAGUCUUUACAGGGUUAAAUGCACUUUAACUAAUCUGCUUUAAAUUAAGUCUUUAGUUAAUUUGGAUUAAUUUUCCCAAGUGUCUUUGUGAAAACCAGCUCAGAGUUGGGAUCCAGCCUGGGCAGUAAUCACAGAAAUGCUUUGUAUUAGAGGAAUUAUUGCCAUGCCUAAAGUUAAGGAUGUGCAUAGUGUUUGGUAUGCAGUAAGGUCAAUGUGCUUCAGAGCCAUGCCCGUUUCUGCAGCAUGCAGUGACUUGAAACCAAUUUAAAUGUCUCAUUAUGAAUGAGUUUUCACCAUGAUUGAUCAGUUUAUGUAGUAUCAGCAAAGAAUGUGUAAUCAGACUGUGUUCUGUCUUUACUGUUUGAGUACAUGAACAAACACUUGGUGACACAGACUAUGGGUAUCAUCUCCAAGCUCAUUCAAACCAAGCCCGGCAGCUAUACUACAAUACUUGCAGCAUAUUAAUUUUGCAUUUCUUUUGAUGCUUGUG
rnacentral:lncRNA from 1 species